rnacentral:tRNA from 1 species
AUGUAGCUCAGUGGUGGAGCACAUGCUUAAUAUGCAUGAAGCUCUGGGUUCAAUCCCCAAUGU